AGCUCGAUGAGUAGGGCGGGACACGUGGUAUCCUGUCUGAAUAUGGGGGGACCAUCCUCCAAGGCUAAAUACUCCUGACUGACCGAUAGUGAACCAGUACCGUGAGGGAAAGGCGAAAAGAACCCCGGCGAGGGGAGUGAAAAAGAACCUGAAACCGUGUACGUACAAGCAGUGGGAGCCUCUUAAUGGGGUGACUGCGUACCUUUUGUAUAAUGGGUCAGCGACUUAUAUUCUGUAGCAAGGUUAACCGAAUAGGGGAGCCGAAGGGAAACCGAGUCUUAACUGGGCGUUAAGUUGCAGGGUAUAGACCCGAAACCCGGUGAUCUAGCCAUGGGCAGGUUGAAGGUUGGGUAACACUAACUGGAGGACCGAACCGACUAAUGUUGAAAAAUUAGCGGAUGACUUGUGGCUGGGGGUGAAAGGCCAAUCAAACCGGGAGAUAGCUGGUUCUCCCCGAAAGCUAUUUAGGUAGCGCCUCGUGAAUUCAUCUCCGGGGGUAGAGCACUGUUUCGGCAAGGGGGUCAUCCCGACUUACCAACCCGAUGCAAACUGCGAAUACCGGAGAAUGUUAUCACGGGAGACACACGGCGGGUGCUAACGUCCGUCGUGAAGAGGGAAACAACCCAGACCGCCAGCUAAGGUCCCAAAGUCAUGGUUAAGUGGGAAACGAUGUGGGAAGGCCCAGACAGCCAGGAUGUUGGCUUAGAAGCAGCCAUCAUUUAAAGAAAGCGUAAUAGCUCACUGGUCGAGUCGGCCUGCGCGGAAGAUGUAACGGGGCUAAACCAUGCACCGAAGCUGCGGCAGCGACACUAUGUGUUGUUGGGUAGGGGAGCGUUCUGUAAGCCUGUGAAGGUGGCCUGUGAGGGUUGCUGGAGGUAUCAGAAGUGCGAAUGCUGACAUAAGUAACGAUAAAGCGGGUGAAAAGCCCGCUCGCCGGAAGACCAAGGGUUCCUGUCCAACGUUAAUCGGGGCAGGGUGAGUCGACCCCUAAGGCGAGGCCGAAAGGCGUAGUCGAUGGGAAACAGGUUAAUAUUCCUGUACUUGGUGUUACUGCGAAGGGGGGACGGAGAAGGCUAUGUUGGCCGGGCGACGGUUGUCCCGGUUUAAGCGUGUAGGCUGGUUUUCCAGGCAAAUCCGGAAAACC
rnacentral:rRNA from 1 species